rnacentral:rRNA from 1 species
AACGAACGCUGGCGGCGUGGCUAAGGCAUGCAAGUCGAGCGAACCUACUUUGAGGGUAACUGAGAGGUUGGUUAGCGGCGGACGGGUGAGGAAUACAUGGGUAACGUGCCCCGGACUCAGGGAUAGCGUUUAGAAAUGAACGGUAAUACCUGAUGACCCCGUAGGAUCGCAUGAUCCAGCGGGCAAAGUUCCGGCGGUCUGGGAGCGGCUCAUGUCCUAUCAGCUAGUUGGCGGGGGUAAC